rnacentral:lncRNA from 1 species
AUGGAAGCAGUGCACAGGGUGGGCCCAGGAGAGUUCCAGUUGUCCUCUCCCGCUGGAGUCACAGUGAGGGCCGCUGACCGAGAGAUGGUGGUGAGACUCCUCAGCGUGAGCAGUGCCCCAGACAGGCUCAGAUGACUUGCAAGAUCACCCGAUGUGAGGGCUCAAGACACUUGGAGGAGUUGUGGUGUGAAAAGAAAGCUUCCCAUUCUUGGCUAAAGGGGGAUUAGGAGAAAACUGAAUUCCAACAGGUGUAUGAAAAGGUGCUGAACCUCACUAAUCAUCAGGGAAAUGCAAAUCAACAGCAGAGUGAGAUGCCACCUCACGCCUGUUAGGUGGCUCAUAUGGUUUGGCUCCGUGUCCCCACCCAAAUCUCACCUCCAGUUGUAAUCUCCAUAAUCCCCACGUGUCAAGGGAGGAGCCUGGUGGGAGGUGAUUGGAUCAUGGGGGCCUUUUCCCCCAUGCUGUUCUCAUGGCAGUGAGGGAGUUCUCGCGAGAUCUCAUGGUUUCAUAAACGGCAGUUUCCCGUGGGCUUCUCUCACUCUCCCC